CGGGACUCUGGAGAGUAUCCCGGACGCACCGCCGGGACACCGAAGGGGCAAGUCCUGAAUUUCAGGGCGAAACUCUCAGGUAAAAGGACAGAGAAG
rnacentral:ncRNA from 1 species